AGCUAGUUAUAAAAUUCAGACGUUGUUUAAAUAUCAUUCAUUUACGAUAACCAGGUUAGACAAAAAUGUGGCCGGUUGUGAUUUUUAUAUUUUGUGUAAUUCAUUAUGCUCAUUCAUCAAUCAAUCCACCUUGUCCAACGAUAAAACAGACAGGACAAUGUCUCGGUUUACCCAAAACCGAUAAAUGUCAGACAGAUAGUAACUGUGGACACCACCGGAUGUGCUGCCCAAAAGAAUGUGGUAAAGAAUGUGUA